GAAGUUUAUUAUUAGGUUGGUCCAAAAAUAAUUGCUGAUUUUGCCUAAAAAUUGGAAAAAACUGCAAUUAUUUGUGCAGCAAUUUAAUA
rnacentral:miRNA from 1 species